rnacentral:lncRNA from 1 species
UUUAAUUGGAUUUAAGAAUAUACACUGUAACACGUACCUUCAUUUUUAAAUGAAUUUGUGCAGCCACUGAAAGCAGCCAAGACCCAUUUCAACCUGAGAAGUGCAAAGCCCAGAAAGCAACACACGCUGCAGCAGUUUAUCCAUACUGAAAGAUGCCAAGCACGUCAGUAACAGACACCACAGCAAAGGCCCUGUACACCAGAUGACCCAAACCAGGAGCAGGCUUCCACCCAGGCAACAUAUCCUGAUCUUGUUAAAUAAGGUUAUGAGGUUCUCAAAGUGACCCAGCUUCUCCUCUGCCUGGUCAGAUGCCUCCCAGUCAGAUCAGAGGCAGGAGAGUGUAACAGCAGGGAAAUGAAGAAGUGUGUGCUUCCCUUGCUCAAAUAAGUGUCAGCAUCCCCACUCUUUGAGGCACAGUUCUGUUGUUAAGACAGAAAUACACAAACAAACAGCCAAAUAAAUAAAUAAAUAAAAAGCA